rfam:Gossypium raimondii Chr02_contig_566, whole genome shotgun sequence.
AAUCCAUGCAUCAGACAUUUCCCAAGUAAUUCUUUAAAUCGUUCCCAAGCUUCAUAUAGCAAGUCAUUCUCCGAUUGCUGAAAAGAUGUGAUGUAAUUUCUAAGCUU